rnacentral:lncRNA from 1 species
UAUCGAUUCUUUUCUUUUUAUAUUAUAUCAUAUAAGAAUCUUUGAAUUUAUUAUUAAUAAAAUACACUUUUCCAAAUGUGUCAUUAGCUAAUAAAUAUACAAUCAUCCAGCAUUGGCAGAUCUGUUUUCUAGAGAUAGCACUAAUCUUAGAUCCAAGAAGUAAACGUGAACCACAAGAAAACAACUUUCGAGAUCUUGUCGAUGAAUGCCUAACCUGGAGGAAUAAAGAGAGAAGAGAGUAGGAGUAAAACAGGGAAUGGCAGAGAAAGGAUCUCGAGGAGAGGAAAGAGAAGAGUGAGCCGCCCCCAGCAGAGCACGCAGCCUCCGUGGAUCGCUCUGUCCCACAUCCGACUAUAGUUUACUCCAUAUAAGUUCCUUUCUCUAAUAUCUAAUUGUCUAUAACAUCAUAUACUUUUGAUUUUAAUUUAAUUUUUAAUUUAAUUUAAGAUAAAAAAGAAUGAUGGAUUCUUAGAAUAGAUAAAACUAUUUAGUUUCUCUUUGAUAAGAAUGUUUAAAUCAAAAUUGAUGAUUGAUAGAAGAAUAAGUCAAAAAUAUCGGAUGUAUAUCAAAUCAAACAGCUGUGUGAAUAAAAUAAGAAAAAAUAAGAGUGGACGAGCGAUAACACAGGAGAAGAUGUUGUGUGCUUGGCCCAAAAGGCAGACAAACGCGUCCCCCAACUCCUUAAGUCAAUCAUUUUAUGGGCGUUUCAAGAGACUCGGCAUGUUUUCGUUGCUUUAUUCAAAGCAAAGUGGUCUGACGAGAGAGAGAAUCCUAAGAAGAAGAAAGAGGAAGAGGAAAAAAGAGGAAUAAGAAAGAAACAAAAAGAGAACGGAAGGGGAAAAAAGCGAAGAAGCAAGAAGCCGCCCCCAGCAGAGCACGCAGCCUCCGUCCUAGCUGGUCCUGUCCCACGCACUAUUAUGUUUUAUCAAAUGAAAUGAAAUAACUAUUUAUUGGUAUGUUUGCAUAUUUUUGAUAUUUUGGUUUCCAACUUGGAUCAUUGAUAUUUACAACUAUUUUACUUAUUGUUCUGAAAUCACAAAAUUUAAGAAGAAGAUUAUUCACAGAAGUUAAGGGGAAAUAGUUUGCAAGAAAUCUCUAAUUAUAACUUUUCCAGUUAACGAUGAAAUCUUCAAACCAAGGAAAAUCUGAUGAACUGGCGAUGACCAUCGAUUGGUUUGCUCAUAGUCCCAAAGGAUGGUAACGCGAGUCCUUUUUUGGCGUUCCGACUGACCUAAUUGGGACCACCAUGCUCGUGUCCGCUCAUUCAUCGAUCGCGGCAUGCUACCGCUCGUGUAAUUAACCCGAUUUACUGCGAAAUAGAAAAAGUCAGAGAAAUAGAUUCCAAUAAAAUUAUUAUUUAUUAGAUAAAAAUUCUUUUGAAGAAAAAAACGCUUUAAAUGAUGAACAAGAUACUGGUAUGACUGUUACUUCGAAGGUGACCACAGUGACAUUCAGCAAUGAAAUACGUAAUAAUUUCACCAUGAAUUUUCGAACUUUAUUGCCUCGUAUGAGCAAUGAACAACUUCACGAGUACCCGCAUACAUUAACACCACUACGAACAAAUGUAAGUUUUUUUUUCAAAUAAAACCAAGGUGUGCGCAGAAGGCACGCCAUCGUUCGAUUCUUGACGCGAUGCACAGUUUCGAUGGGAUCAAAUAAAAAGUAUCGUCGUAGACGUGAUUCGAAGGUACUGGACAGUUGGUGGGUAAUUUACAGGACAUUUGGACGGACGUUGGGAAAUAAAUUUCGGUUUUGUCAGCGAGGAUGCGGCGCGCCGUGAAACCAGCCCCAAGCUGGAAUAAAUCUCCGAGCCGCGAUCGUCAUUCCUUCGCGAAUGACAAAUGCGUGCCCGUAUAAAAAGGGAGACGAAGCUCCACGGAGACGAGGAGGUGAAUCAGAAUGGUUGGAUCGAUCUGAACCUCGUUCGAUCGAGUUAAAA